GCGGAUGUGGCGAAAUUGGUAAACGCGCUAGUUUUAGAAACUAGUAACUUUUGUUUUGAGAGUUCAAGUCUCUCCAUCCGCA
rnacentral:tRNA from 1 species